CGUCCCCUGCGGUGUUCGUGGUGUUCCAGUAAUUCUCUGAACCUAUAAGCAUCAUCCCGGGAGCUGAGUCGUAAAUGAUGUGUGCAUGUCCGCUUGUUCGGAAAGCCUGAUUCAUUUCCACAGCACCCACUUGAACCUCUGGGUUCAAGAAGUCGAAGAGCAGCACGGCACAGGCGGAGGGCGC
rnacentral:other from 1 species